rnacentral:rRNA from 1 species
GAUGAACGCUGGCGGCGUGCCUAAUACAUGCAAGUCGAGCGAACAGACGAGGAGCUUGCUCCUCUGACGUUAGCGGCGGACGGGUGAGUAACACGUGGAUAACCUACCUAUAAGACUGGGAUAACUUCGGGAGACCGGAGCUAAUACCGGAUAAUAUAUUGAACCGCAUGGUUCAAUAGUGAAAGACGGGUUUGCUGUCACUUAUAGAUGGAUCCGCGCCGCAUUAGCUAGUUGGUAAGGUAACGGCUUACCAAGGCAGCGAUGCGUAGCCGACCUGAGAGGGUGAUCGGCCACACUGGAACUGAGACACGGUCCAGACUCCUACGGGAGGCAGCAGUAGGGAAUCUUCCGCAAUGGGCGAAAGCCUGACGGAGCAACGCCGCGUGAGUGAUGAAGGUCUUCGGAUCGUAAAACUCUGUUAUUAGGGAAGAACAAAUGUGUAAGUAACUAUGCACGUCUUGACGGUACCUAAUCAGAAAGCCACGGCUAACUACGUG